rnacentral:rRNA from 1 species
UACGUAGGGUGCGAGCGUUAAUCGGAAUUACUGGGCGUAAAGUGUGCGCAGGCGGCUUCGCAAGUCGGGUGUGAAAUCCCCGAGCUUAACUUGGGAAUUGCGCUCGAAACUACGGAGCUGGAGUGUGGCAGAGGAAGGUGGAAUUCCACGUGUAGCGGUGAAAUGCGUAGAGAUGUGGAGGAACACCGAUGGCGAAGGCAGCCGUCUGGGGCAACGCUGACGCUCAUGCACGAAAGCGUGGGGAGCGAACAGG